UCCUCCUGGCCACUAGACAACAUGACCUCUCUGCCUGGGCAGGGAUCCCGGGGGAAGGGGGCAAUGGGUUGCAAGGGCUUUAAUGUCCCACCUUGACCUCGCCCUUGGCCAGUUGGGAAGAAGAGACAGAGCCCUGGAGUCGAGGCUUGAAUCUGGGGCUCUGCCUGCAAAGGGUAGAAGGGGGUUGGGUUUUGAAAGGUAUAUAAGAGCUUGCCAGGUAGGGCAGGAGUGGGCCCUGCUCAUCCUGGAGAUGCCCAGUUGGUGACUGGACCCGCAGGACUUGACAGAGCUAGGGGAAGGCCUGAGGUAGUCAGAGUGUGGGCACCGGCUCUGCAAAGCCCAAGGAAGGAAACCUUCAGAAGAGGCUGAGAUGGCACAGCUGGAAAAGGAGGGGAACCUGGGCCACCUUGGAGGGAUGGACAGGGUAGAGCUGAAAUCUCCAGACCAGCCCCAUCCAAUAGAACUUUCUGCAAUGAUGGACACGUUCUCUAUCUGCACUGUGACUGGAAAACUUCUUGGGACCUUUGGAACAUCUUGAAUGUGCAAAUCUACCUCUUCAACUGUACCAUUUAUGGACUCUACAGAUCAAGUAUUUAUGAUGAAAACUGAGUAUCCAAAUUGCAUUGUGAGUGUAAAAUACGCGCUGGAUUGCCAAGACGUAGGAUGAAAAAGACAAUGUAAAAUACUCAUUAAUACUGUUUUAUAUUGGAUACAUGUUGAAAUGAGACUAAUUUGGACUUGUGUUAAAUAAAGUAUAGUAUUAAAAUUAA